rnacentral:rRNA from 1 species
AACGCGAAGAACCUUACCAAGGUUUGACAUGGCCGGAAAAGCAUCAGAGAUGGUGUGUCCUUCGGGGUCGGUCACAGGUGGUGCAUGGCUGUCGUCAGCUCGUGUCGUGAGAUGUUGGGUUAAGUCCCGCAACGAGCGCAACCCUCGUCCUAUGUUGCCAGCGGGUCAUGCCGGGGACUCAUGGGAGACUGCCGGGGUCAACUCGGAGGAAGGUGGGGAUGACGUCAAGUCAUCAUGCCCCUUAUGUCUUGGGCUGCAAACAUGCUACAAUGGCCGGUACAGAGGGCUGCGAGACCGCGAGGUUAAGCGAAUCCCGGAAAGCCGGUCUCAGUUCGGAUCGGGGUCUGCAACUCGGCCCCGUGAAGCUGGAGUCGCUAGUAAUCGCGGAUCAGCAACGCCGCGGUGAAUACGUUCCCGGGCCUUGUA